GCAACUCUCUCAUAUCCAUCUCACCCCUUUGUGCAUUGCCGCGUGGGUCCCCUUUUGGCUUGUUCCGAGGGGGACCUGCGUUUUUACAUAGACACCCUUUGAAUGCAUGUGUAGAACGUCUUACUUUUUGCGAUCACACGCAAUCAAUACAACUUUCAACAACGGAUCUCUUGGCUCUCGCAUCGAUGAAGAACGCAGCGAAAUGCGAUACGUAAUGUGAAUUGCAGAAUUCAGUGAAUCAUCGAAUCUUUGAACGCACCUUGCGCCCCUUGGUAUUCCGAGGGGCACACCCGUUUGAGUGUCGUGAAUACUCUCAACCUUCUUGGUUUCUUUGACCAUGAAGGCUUGGACUUUGGAGGUUUUUCUUGCUGGCCUCUUUUGAAGCCAGCUCCUCCUAAAUGAAUGGGUGGGGUCCGCUUUGCUGAUCCUCGACGUGAUAAGCAUUUCUUCUACGUCUCAGUGUCAGCUCGGAACCUGCUUUCCAACCGUCUUUGGACAAAGAC
rnacentral:rRNA from 1 species